CGUACGAGCCUGUCAUUCUCGAGUGAUUGUUUGAUCGUGAGUGCAAUGUGGUGUUUAAAGUUGGCUUCUGGCAUUACUGCUCUUCCCCAAGUCCAGCAAUGAGUACGGCUUCCCAUUCUGGCCCAUAGAGGGUGAAAGGCCCGUGGGGGUAGAGACCAAGUGUGACAGUUCUGCUCAGAGCUCCCCUUAGAGUCGGGUUGUUUGUGAAUGCAGCCCAAAGUGGGUGGUAGACUCCAUCCAAGGCUAAAUACUUACACGAGUCCGAUAGCAAACAAGUACCGUGAGGGAAAGUUGAAAAGUACUUUGAAGAGAGAGUAAACAGUGCGUGAAACCGCUCAAAGGUAAACGGGUGGAGUUGAACUGCAAGCCCUGGGAAUUCAGCUGAUGAGUGUGAUUUGUGCUUGGGCAUACUGGCCGCCUUCAGUGUCCGUUUAACCGCGGGUGCCUGCCUUAUCGGUGGGUGUGUGUGAAUCGUUUGCAAGCGACGCACGCACUGUUGGUGUGAGGGUCUGCUUGUCAGUGCACUUUCUCAGGGUGUUCACCACGACCGGCGCUGCUGCCUGUCUGCUAUGAUCAAACUGGUCGAGUCUGGCAUUGUUGGGCUUGGCUGGGUCGGCAGGUGACUCUUUGGCUCAUUCGUGGGCCGUGAGUGUUACUAGCUGGUUGUAGUGGAUCUGUGCGGUGUGUCGGAGAUGGCGGCUUCGCAUGCGUGCUUAGACCUGCGGACAUUGUUGAGUCUGGUCGGUUUGUUACUGGCUUCGGCUGGUCGGCUGAUGGCUUGAUUUUGUUGCGUUGGCAGUUGCGUGUGUGAACGGCUUGGGCCCAUAGUCUGUGGUGUAGUGGUAGACGAUCCACCUGACCCGUCUUGAAACACGGACCAAGGAGUUUAACAUGUGCGCGAGUCAUUGGGUGUUACGAAACCCAAAGGCGAAGUGAAGGUAAAGGUUCGGCUUGUCCGGGCUGAGGGAAACGCCGCGUGUUUUUUUACAAAAAAAGUUUUUUUGUGU
rnacentral:rRNA from 1 species